UAGGGAAUCUUCCGCAAUGGGCGAAAGCUUGACGGAGCAACGCCGCGUGAGUGAUGAAGGUCUUCGGAUCGUAAAACUCUGUUAUUAGGGAAGAACAAAUGUGUAAGUAACUAUGCACGUCUUGACGGUACCUAAUCAGAACGCCACGGCUAACUCCGUCCCAGCAGCCGCGGUAAUCCGUAGGUGGCAAGCGUUAUCCGUAAUUAUUGGGCGUAAAGCGCGCGUAGGCGGUUUUUUAAGUCUGAUGUGAAAGCCCACGGCUCAACCGUGGAGGGUCAUUGGAAACUGGAAAACUUGAGUGCAGAAGAGGAAAGUGGAAUUCCAUGUGUAGCGGUGAAAUGCGCAGAGAUAUGGAGGAACACCAGUGGCGAAGGCGACUUUCUGGUCUGUAACUGACGCUGAUGUGCGAAAGCGUGGGGAUCAAACAGG
rnacentral:rRNA from 1 species